CCUAUGGGCGGCAGCAGUGGGGGAUAUUGCACAAUGGGGGAAACCCUGAUGCAGCGACGCCGCGUGGGUGAAGAAGCGCCUCGGCGCGUAAAGCCCUGUCAGCAGGGAAGAAAAUGACGGUACCUGAAGAAGAAGCCCCGGCUAACUACGUGCCAGCAGCCGCGGUACUACGUAGGGGGCAAGCGUUAUCCGGAUUUACUGGGUGUAAAGGGGGCGCAGACGGCGAUGCAAGCCAGGAGUGAAAGCCCGGGGCCCAACCCCGGGACUGCUCUUGGAACUGCGUGGCUAGAGUGCAGGAGGGGCAGGCGGAAUGCAUGGUGUAGCGGUGAAAGGCGUAGAUAUCAGGAGGAACACCGGUGGCGAAGGCGGCCUGCUGGACUGCAACUGACGUUGAGGCCCGAAAGCGUGGGGAGCAAACAGGAUUAGAUACCCGUGUAGUC
rnacentral:rRNA from 1 species